rnacentral:rRNA from 1 species
UGAGUACGAGAUGCUACGGCAUCGAAGCAGUCUAUGUCAUACUUCCAAGAAAAGCUUGCACUGUCAUAAACAAAGAAUGCCUGUACCAUAACCGACACAGGUGGGUAGGUAGAGUAUACUAAGGGGCGCGAGAUAACUCUCUCUAAGGAACUCGGCAAAAUGACUCCGUAACUUCGGGAGAAGGAGUGCCUUAUUUCUAAGGUUGCAAUAACAAGAUCCAAGCAACUGUUUACCAAAAACACAGGUCUCCGCUAAGUCGUAAGACGAUGUAUGGGGGCUGACGCCUGCCCAGUGCCAGAAGGUUAAAGAAGUUGGUUAGCAUUAGCGAAGCUGAUAACUGAAGCCCUGGUGAACGGCGGCCGUAACAAUAACGGUCCUAAGGUAGCGAAAUUCCUUGUCGGGUAAGUUCCGACCCGCACGAAAGGCGUAAUGAUUUGGAUACUGUCUCGGAGAGGGGCUCGGUGAAAUAGACUUGUCUGUGAAGAUGCGGACUACCUGCACCUGGACAGAAAGACCCUAUGAAGCUUUACUGUAACUUGAGAUUGAAAUUGGACUUUAUUUGCGCAGUAUAGGUGGGAGGCGUUGAGAAUAAUCUUGCGGGAUUGUUGGAGCCAUCAGUGAGAUACCACUCUUGUAAUGUUAGAUUUCUAACUUUGUAUCAUUAUCUGGUCAAAGAACAGUUUCAGGCGGGCAGUUUGACUGGGGCGGUCGCCUCCCAAAGGGUAACGGAGGCGCACAAAGGUUUCCUCUGAACGGGUAGAAAUCGUAUCUAGAGUGUAAAGGCAUAAGGAAGCUUGACUGUGAGACCUACAAGUCGAGCAGGGACGAAAGUCGGUCUUAGUGAUCUGACGGUGCUGAGUGGAAAGGCCGUCACUCAACGGAUAAAAGUUACUCUAGGAUAACAGGCUGAUCUCCCCCAAGAGUUCACAUCGACGGGGAGGUUUGGCACCUCGAUGUCGGCUCAUCGCAUCCUGGGGCGGUAGUCCGUCCCAAGGGUUGGGCUGUUCGCCCAUGAAAGCGGUACGCGAGCUGGGUUCAGAACGUCGUGAGACAGUUCGGUCCAUAUCCGGUGUAGGCGUUAGAAUAUUGAGAGGAGCCUUCUCUAGUACGAGAGGACCGAGAAGGACAUACCUCUGGUGUACCAGUUAUCGUGCCAACGGUAAACGCUGGGUAGCUAUGUAUGGAGUGGAUAACCGCUGAAAGCAUCUAAGUGGGAAGCCCACCUCAAGAUAAGUAUUCUCAU